CAAUAGCGUAUAUUUAAGUUGUUGCAGUUAAAAAGCUCGUAGUUGGAUUUCGGAUGGUGUCCAUCGGUCUGCCUUUGGCACGCACUGGUGUGACGCCAUCUCGCUGUCGGGAACGGGCUGCUGGGCUUAACUGUCCGGUACCCGGAGUCGACGACGUCACUUUGAGUAAAUUAGAGUGUUCAAAGCAGGCCUACGCUCUGAAUACAUUAGCAUGGAAUAACACGAUAGGACUCUGGCCUAUCUUGUUGGUCUGUAGGACCGGAGUAAUGAUUAAGAGGGACAGUCGGGGGCAUUCGUAUUUCAUUGUCAGAGGUGAAAUUCUUGGAUUUAUGAAAGACGAACUACUGCGAAAGCAUUUGCCAAGGAUGUUUUCAUUAA
rnacentral:rRNA from 1 species